rnacentral:rRNA from 1 species
GAUGAACGCUAGCGGCAGGCCUAAUACAUGCAAGUCGAACGGGAUCCAGAUCAAAGCUUGCUUUGGUCUGGUGAGAGUGGCGCACGGGUGCGUAACGCGUGAGCAACCUACCCUUGUCAGGGGGAUAGCCCGGCGAAAGUCGGAUUAAUACCGCAUGACAUCAUUGAGAGGCAUCUUUCGAUGAUCAAAGAUUUAUCGGACAAGGAUGGGCUCGCGUGACAUUAGCUAGUUGGUAAGGUAACGGCUUACCAAGGCUGCGAUGUCUAGGGGCUCUGAGAGGAGAAUCCCCCACACUGGUACUGAGACACGAACCAGACUCCUACGGGAGGAAGCAGUAAGGAAUAUUGGUCAAUGGACGGAAGUCUGAACCAGCCAUGCCGCGUGCAGGAAGACGGCCCUAUGGGUUGUAAACUGCUUUUAUACGGGAACAAACGUCGGUACGUGUACCGGUCUGAGUGUACCGUAAGAAUAAGGAUCGGCUAACUCCGUG